ensembl:lncRNA GLIDR glioblastoma down-regulated RNA
CUCUCUAACUCCUCCCACUGAGAUGACCCAUAGUACCCCAUUCCUUGCUGCAAUGUAAUUAUAUUUAAUUACAAGUGUGCCCCUGGUAGUCUUUAACUGAAGGGCACUGACUGGGUCACUGGUGAAGUUCCCCGCAGGAACUGAGUCAGACCCCAUCUCAGGGCCCUGCACAAGAUAGGUGCCUGCUCUAAGGCGUGGACCCUCGCCACAGCCCUGGCCCGUCUUGACGGGCGAGGGUUACUGUACUUGUCCCAACCGUACAGAUGAGAAAGCUGAGACUCAGGGCCAGCAACCCGGGUCCCAGCGGAGCGCCCGGCACACGCCGACACUUCAGCACCAGUGGCGGUGGCCACCACUGUGGGCGGAGAUGGCUGCGACGCGUGCGCAGAUCUCGAUCCCAAACUCCCUCCUGCCAGAAUCUGGACCCGAAUCCACCCAUUGCCCGUUUUCCGCUGCCGCUGGAGAGAAUCUCUGAGGUCCCCAGGAGAGCCUGCCUGCACGGAAGAGACGCCUCCUCGGCAGCAGUAGGGCUUAUGGGAGCCAUUGUACAGUGACAGGAACAUACCAGGACACUGAGAAUAGCGUCAUGUCAUAAGGACUCAGAGCAGGUGGACCCUGCUGUGAUGCACAAAGGUGAGGGUGCAGCUGCCCAGGACACACUCAUGCAUGUUUGUGUGGACCAUGGAAGAUGGCAGGGGAAGAGCUGUCAGGUUGCUGGGGCAGAGGGUGCGCAUGAGUACUCGCCUAGGACCAUGCAAGAUAUGAUAAAGAUCUAUGUCACUGAAUUUUGUUUCUGUAUUUGUAUCUCAGCUUCCCAGAAAUAAAAAAGAAUUCUAACAUUCAUACUUUCAGUAUUUUAUGUGAGAGGUUUUGUUGUCAAAAUCAAGUCUGAGAGCAAUGUUUAUUGGGGCCUUUCAUUGGAGUCACCAAGCAAUAAAGGGGACAUUGUCUUCAACAAUAACCCUAUAAUAAACACGUUUUGGACAAUAAA